GCCGGAUUAGCUCAGCUGAUAGAGCAGUUGAUUUGUAAUCAUCAGGUCGCCGGUUUGAAUCCGGCAUCCGGCUCCA
rnacentral:tRNA from 1 species